UACGUAGGGUGCGAGCGUUUAAUCGGAAUUACUGGGCGUAAAGCGUGCGCAGGCGGUUUUGUAAGCCAGAUGUGAAAUCCCCGGGCUUAACCUGGGAAUGGCAUUUGGGACUGCAAGGCUGGAGUUUGGCAGAGGAGACUGGAAUUCCUGGUGUAGCAGUGAAAUGCGUAGAGAUCCGGAAGAACACCGGAGGCGAAGGCGGCUUGCUGGGCGUGAUCUGACGCUGAGGCGCGACAGCGUGGGGAGCAAACAGG
rnacentral:rRNA from 1 species